AAGGGAAUGUCGAGUGUCCUGUGGAGCCCGAAAUCUCCUGGGAAGCCUGAGUCCUAAGGAAACCCCCGAGUCUCACAGUUGGGCACAGUUUAACUGACUUAAGAGAAUAAGAAACAUGUGAGAACAGGUGGGAAGAUCUGAGAGAAACACUUUUCAAUCUGGCAAAGCCGUCAAACCCAAGAGAUGCCUGCUGCAGAGCGGGACAGGACAGGCCGCUGGCUGCAGCCACCACGGAGCUGGGCCAGUAGGGCUGGUGGGGAAAUGCAAAGCUCUCACACAUGUCUUCCUGACAGCAAGACGUGAUUCAGAAUCGUCCUCACCCCCGAAGAGCCCCAGAGUAUCAAAGUAUCAGAGGUUUGUCUGCAAUCAAGCCAGGAGAAAGACGUUCUAGUCAAUAAAGCUUCCCACCUGUGUGUGGAUAGAACCUCUA